AACAAAAUGUAACAGUACCUGUGGAUGGAGAAGUUUGGGUCUACAGCGACAGAACCAGAAUUCAGGGAGCACCAGUUUCCCACCUUCCCACCAGUGCACUGGACACAGGCCUGAAAUUGAAAGCUAUUUCAAACACAGCAAAACCCCAGACUUUUGUCCCUGUUCUUGGAAUAGCUACAGAAGUAUGGCUAUUAUGGUUUGUGUAACUUGUGCAAGUGGAAUACCACAAGAAGAGAAACACCUGGCUGCUGACUCCACUGCUUUUGGCUACAGCCUGUUGCUUGUAUGACUGAUUUCCAUGCCCCAGCCUUUUUUGUGGUUUUAAAAGACUUUAGGGAAAGAGAUAUACUUGUUCCUUUGCCUUUUAAUUUUGGAGAUCCAGCAUGUCAAUUGCAGCAGGAGUGGCAACCUGGAAAACCAGUCACUGCUUGUGUACAGAGUCAUUAUACGUUGUUUGUAUAGUGAUUCAGACAUAUCCAGACUACAUAUGGUAUUAUAUUACCCUAUAUGUGAAGUGCUCAGUUGAUCUUCCAGAAGUCACAAGCUGAAAUACAGAAGUCUAAUGAACUAGGAAAGCCCAGCUGCUAAAAUGGGUAGAGUUUUUUACCAUUUUUGCAUGGGAUCACAAAUUGAAGAAAAGCUGAGCUUUCAGAAAAUUAGGCAGAAGUCGCUGUGGCAAUGAAGAUCAGGACCAGAGGGGCAAAUCCAUCAUUGGUGGAGUUCUCUUUAUUUAGAAGGAGUAACAUCAUGUUUGAGUUGUGCUGCUGCUGACUUGUUUGUACAUUCAGCCAAAAUCAGUGCUUUAUGGAAAAUAAUUUUAUUCCUGCCUGGGUCAGCAUGAAGAUACCUGAAUAAUUCAUCUGGACAGCUGGUACGAUAUGGUAAUACAAUGCAAAUAUUAAAAUAAUUUUUUGGCCACGGAAGAUUCAAGCUGGAGUUCAUGAUUUAUUUAUGUUUUUAACUCCCAUGUUUCUCAUCCCAUAAGUCUUUCCUAGUGAAGCAAUUCCAUUUUAUACAACUACGUAAGUGUUCAGUAAAUGAGAGGAAGGUAGAUAUUAAUUAGGCUACCUAGGAGGUAGAAGCUUCAAAUAUAGUGGUACUGUAAUGUAGGUGUUAGAAGACAAGUUUCAAAAGUUUGCUUCCUGUAAGUUCUAUCAAGGGUUUCACUCUACCUUCCAAGGUGUUUUUAUUAGAGUUCUCCAUAAAUUUUGCUUGGAGCAAUUUUUUUAGAUUGAAAACAAUUUACUGUAAUAGCCUUUUCUGUUGCAAGACAUUAAGAACCCAUUGUUACAAAAUAUUUUUUUUUUAUCUUGAAGGUAAUGGGAAAUAACACAUUAAUUUUAUUUAUUUGCCUUACACUUGAGACUCCUUUGGAAAUUUCAUUGAACAGAAUCAUAGAAUGGUUUGCAGUUGGAAGGGACCUUUAAAUGUCAUCUACUCCAACCUCACUGCAAUAAGUAGGGAGAUUUUCAAUUAGAUCAGGUUGCUCAGAGCCCCAUCCAGCCUGACCUUGGAUUUUUCCAGGCAUGGGGCAUUAACAAUCUCUCUGGGCAACAUGCUGCAGUAUUUCACCACCUUUGUGGCAAAAUAUUUCCUCCUUAUAUCUAGUCUAAGUCAAUCCUCUUUCAGAUCAAAACCAUUACCCCUUGUCCUAUUGCUACAAGUCCUAUUAAAAAGUCUGUCCCACUCUUUCUUAUAAGUCCCCUUUAAGUACUGAAAGGCUGCAAUAAGGUGUCUCUGGAGCUUUCUUUAGGCUGAACAACCCAAAGUCUCUCAGCUUGUCUUCACGGGAGAGCUGUUCCAGCCCUCUGAUCAUUUUUGUGGCCUUCUCUGGAGCCGCUCCAUCAGGUCCAUGUCUUGCCUGUGCUGAGGAUUCCAGACAUGGAUCCAUUACUCCAGGCAGACCUCAUCAAGAAACUGGUGUGAAUGUGCUGUGGAAUUUUACAGUAAAAUACCUGGCAUCAAUUACUAUCAAGAGCUAAUGCACGUUUGGAUACUCUGAUGGAUGGCCCUUGUGAACUAUUUUAUACAUGAAUAUACCUGAGGAAUGGACUGAAGAAGGAAGGACUCUCAGAUGACAGAACUGGCUAUGAUCUCUCUUUUAACCUAUAUAUGGAAUAAUACAGACAACCUCAUAGCCAUCAACAAAGAGCAUUUCAGAAGUUGAAGUGAACUGAAAUUAAUACUCACAUACUACACAUGGACAUCUGAAAAACCUCAAACUACAGCUUCAUUGUUUUAUGGGCUACAUUGAACGUCAGGCGACGUUGCUACUGCUGCAAUUUUCUAGACAGUAUACUGAAUUUAUCCAAGGAAUGCUAGUAUCAGCAGUGACAGCAGUAACAUCAUAGCGAGAGGGAAAUCUUUAACAGCUCACAUCCCAUUUACUAAUGCGUAAUGAAAACACCCUUGUCUCAUCACAACCUCAGAUAUUUUCAUCAUCAAAGUCCCAUGGAAGACCAGAGAAAGCCUCUUUUUUUCCAUGAUUGAUGGGGAACCUGAGGAGGAGAUGUUACAAGAAAGAUAGAUACAAGAAUUCAGGCAAAACCCACAAGAGAAAGUCACUGAGGAGGAAGAUGAAGGUGAGGGUUGCUGAAGUUGGCAGAGUUUCUGGUGGUUUCCUCAUAUGUGGAGACAUUUGCAGCCUUAUCUACAACGAGUCAUCAUGGAUGGAGCAGACGAUCCUCAACACAGAAUGUGAUACAUAACAUAUAUGUGGGGAAAGUCCAUGGAUUCAAUGAAGACUUUGCCCUGCUAAGAGAGUAGAAAUCAGCCUGGAGAAUUUGGAGAAAUCCAAAGAUACGUAAAAGGGGGAAAGUUGUUCUCCCAGCCCUCCUUUUUGCAUUUCCGAGAACUACCUUUAGCAAAAGAGACUUGAAGCCAUUUACUGUGGUGAGAACAGAUCGGAUGUGAAAGCUGCUGCAGCCGCUGAGAUACCCGAGUGCAAAAAGUAAAGACAGUAGCGCCAGUGACAGCAGAAUCUGGCUCAGGAUUCCUGUUUUUCUUCUUAAUGUCUUCAGUUGUAGCCCAUGAAAGGAUACCAGUGUAAAUGGAUAUUCACAGACACACAGCCUGGUAUGUUCUGGUAUGGAGAGAACCAGCUUUCCACUGAUGGCAAAGCAACUUGAUGAGACCUUCAGUACAACUUGUCUAGGUGAUGCUAUAUGACAUGUAGAGACACAUUUGUUGGUCUUGCUGACAGUGGUGAGAUUUCUAAAUUAAUGAAUGGGAAGUGACUCAACAAAAGUCAAUAACAGAAACACGUUAGCCUUUGUCAUUGAUUAAGACUGAAAGAGACUUAAUAACCAUCUUCCUGCAUCUGUAUUAUCCUUGGCCUUAUUAUUUCUCAUCUAAUCCAUUUGUAGACUAUUUUGCCUGAUCUAAAUAAUUCAAGGUUUGUGUAGCAUCUGAGAGCUGCCUGUCUUUCAUGUCGUGCUACUUAGUGCUCUUCCACAGCAAAAUUUUUCUUAGAGAUUUACUUUCACAUACUUUUGUAAUAUACUGUCUCUGAAGACUGUAAUUCCAAAUAAAAAUUAAAAAAAAUAAACAAAACAGAAAGUUAGGUACUAAUAAGAAACGUUUCGUGGGCAUAGUGGCCAUUCUCACAAAAUGUAUUUUUCAAUUAGUCAAUGUGCUGGCAGUUUGUGACACAGCCUUUCAUCCUCGACUGUGAUUCUUCUGAGCAAAUUCACCCUACAGAAAGUUACUAGUGUCGAAAGGCAGUUUGUUACCAUUUAUUUCUCUUUUUGUGCAUGGUUUACUUAAUUAAUAACUAUCUUGAACCUUCUGUUAUAAAGCUUUGCUCUGGAGAUCAGAUCCAAGCUGGUGUAUUUUUGUGAUUUAAAAGUGAAUUUAAAAGACUUAUAAGGUGUCACAACAUGCAGGAACAAAGCUUAUUUUUGAUUUAUGUAAAUUUUAGAUCCUGGAUUGAUUGGUUUAAUAACAUUUCUUAAUAAAGUAAACUGAAUGCAUCU